GCCGGCUGUGAGGGACCUACGGGGGAACCGCUCCCACAUUGCAGACGUCUGGCUAGACAGGAGCUUCCCCUGGCUGAAGAAAGAGGGUGCUGCUCAGAAGAUGCCACUUUCUGGGUCCUAGUGCUGGUUGAGCUCCUCUUCUGUGUGCUGGGAGCUAUCCUGUUUUCUGUACAACAAAUCCCCUCUGGAAUAUGGGGUGCUGUGCAGCUGUGAUGGUGGGACUGCAAGGAAGGUGGUGGGCAGCGGGGAGGUCUAUGGGCAACAUUGAGGGAAAACCUCCUCUCACUCAGCAGUAACCCCUACAGCUGCCUAAGAAGCUUCACCGGGAAGUUCCAGACUGUCUCAUCCAUUCUACUCAAACUGGAAAGAUUACAUGCACAAGGCUGAGCACAAACCCAAGUGAUACCAACUACCCAUUACACUGAUCUGACGCAAGUUCUUGUUUUGGAGAAGCCUUUGAACCAACUCCAAGAGUUUAACCUUAGAAAUUGAUUAAUUGAGCUUCUCAGCCGUGAUGGAACAUAAAACAAAUAGUAGUCUAGUCUAACAAGGUCUCAGACCAUUCAGCACUUGAAAUAUUACACAGAGGAACAGCAUUCAAGGAGAGAGUAAGAGCCUGCACAGCUAAAGUCUGGGACCAUGGGAGUUCUGGGCUGCUGACACCUCCACAUCACCACAGGAGGCACUGGCUAGGUUCCCACAGGAGGACCAUGUGAGGCUGGGCCCAGCAGGAAAUACUACCCAGCAGGACCUGAGUGGCAGCUCCUUGCAGCCCACUGAUUGGCUGGGACUGGUACUUAAACCAGAAGCCAUGCCAGAGAGUUGUCUGAGUAACAAUACAGACUGCCUGCCUGGUUUCAGGGAGAGAUCCCAGACUCUGGCUUCUGACCCUGCCUGAUUCUUGGUUUAUUCCCAGGCCUAUCUCAGACUCUGACCUCCAGUAACCAGAUGCUGCAUGCCUACUGAUUACUGGUUUGCCCUCUGGCCUGUCUUGGACUGACUCUCUGGUACCUGAUUCAGCCUGACUCCUGCUCUGAUUGCCCAAAAACCACUCAUAACACUCUAGGCUACUCAUUCAAAUCUGGUCCAGAUAUGCAGCAAACAAAAGGUUAAUUAUCCAAUGGCUAUUUGACAAU